UCGAAUAAGCUUUUCAGCAACAUUUAGAGUUUUUUCAAUCUGCAAGAGAGAGAUAUACAAGUUACAAGGAGGAAUUAUUCAUAACCAACUGUUGGUCUACAGAUUUAUCAUAAUCUGAUUUGUGUGUCAUUCUUUUAUGGCUUGCUGAGGACUUGUUGGUUAAUCUGGCAUACAUGACCAUCUUUUAAUUAUAUUUUAAUUUAUUAAUUGUACGUAUAUAUUUAUUAUUAAAAAAUUAAAUAAUUCCGCCGCAAUGUGCGAAUUUGUAUCUAGUUAAAAUAUAAAGACAGGAUUAAUUAAUGUUGGGUUGUUUGCUAGAGGGAGGACUAGAAAUGGGUUGAAAGUUGAAAUCGAAAUCUCUAUUAAUUUUUGUGACACAUAAGUAGGUGUUGUCCAAAGAAUAGGUGACAACUAAAGCAAAUGUUUAUUUUUUGUUAUUAGUAUUAGUAUUUACAAGCUUAAUAAUCCGUAUAAAGUAAGAAUAACUUAGAAAUAAUAUAUUGAAUAAGUUUUAAAAAUAUACUAACAUAUUUGAGUAAUAAUAUUUAUAAUAUCGAUAAUUUAUUUAAUUUUAAAUAAUCUCAUUACAAUAUGUCACUUUAAUUAGAAUAAGAAUAAAAAAAGGGAUACAAUUUAUGAAUUUGAGAAAUCAUUGUAAAUGAAUACUCCAUAUGAUAAGCAAAAAGCAGAAUAAUCAAAAAAAAAAUUGCAUUACCCAGUCACCAAAAAAAUUAAUCUUUUGUUAGACUAUUGAGUUGAACUGGGACAAGGGCUUACCUCUGUAAUAUGAACUGCGGUGGAAAGCCAAGAAAGAAUAGGAAAGAAGUGCAAGACCCCUUGCGUGAUGCAGCCAAAACUUUCCAAGCUAGAGCUAAAUCUUUGGUUAAGUCGUGGUCUUCCCCGUAUCUACAGAUCAUAUCAGUUCUUCUUCAAAAAAAAUUUAUUUAUAAAAAAGAAAUUGAAGCAAAAUAGCAUAACUUUUAAACGAUAUCAACAUAUUAUUUUAGCCCGAUGAAAACAAAACAUUUUUCCUUAAGAUCUUUUUUUAAAUAAAAAUAGAGAACGAAGUAACUAAAAAGGUUAUUAGUUUUUAGGCAAGUACAUAACUCAACAAGAAAUUUUCUUACCCGUCCAAUUUUUAAUAAAUCAAGAUAACCAUUUGUUCCGGUAUAAAUAUUCAUUAUCUGUUCUUCUAUGGUGAGAGGGACUGAUUGGGAUUGUUUGAGCUAUUCAAGUAAUCGUUGACCUCUUGCCAAUUGAUUAAAUGUAAUUCAUUAUAUUGUAGCUCUUUUACUCCCUCAGCGGGUUCGGACGCCACCUAAAAAGAAGACACAUGUGACUAUGUGUGAUCGAUAUACUUCUGGAGUCUUCUUGAAAAACGGAGGACACGUGCUCGUUCGUAAACCAACCAGUAGCUCUUUCCGCAAGGAAAGUAGCUCCAAAAAACUCCUGGGAGGUGAACCAAAGCUGGACUUUGGCCCUCGUAGUGAAAGAGCUGUUUGGGAAAAUGUGCAAUGGGCGGGGGGAGCUUCUUUAAAUUGAUAUAUAGUUUCUCUCGUUGUAAGACUUCCGAUACACAUUUCCAAAUCAACUGAGAGAAGUCGCAUCUGUCCUAUCGCAAACACCUACAAUGUCAUGAUCACAUUGAUUUACCUCAGUCGAAGGAGCGGAGCUUACUUUCUAUUCUAUUAGUCAAGCGCACUCACUCUAACGACGUUCCUUUUGCAUAGGUUGCUUGUUAUGGCAUGUUAAACUUUUAAGACCAGCGUCGCAUCAGGCUUGCUUGUCCUUUCAAGCGAAUGCUUUAUUCUUCUGAAGGUGGGAGAAAAGAUAAAAUCAAAAAAGGUUUCUUAAUCCAAAUUUAAGAUUUCAGUUUAAGAAUGACUUUUGUUUACAGAGAGAUUCUCUUUUAUAGGAAGCAAAAUAAGCACAGUUAGCAAGAUCCCCUUCUAUUUCAGUUGUUGCUGUUGAAGGAAGAACUGAUGUGAUUGCUCGAGUUGAAGAAGUGGAUGCUGGUAUCGUAGAUAAAAAAAGAUUACUAAAAGGGCACACAAUGAUCGGACAUAAAAGAUAGGAAUCGUAUGUCAUCGUAGACCAUGACGAAUUCAUCAAAUCUAAAUAAGUCCUAAGAACUUUGUUCAUUAGCCGCAUAAAAGUUACAGAUGUGUUGGCCUUACCGUAAUAAGGUCGAAUGGCAUGACGAUCCAUUAAUAUAACCCUUGCCAUGUCUUUAACGCGAUCUUACAGCGCCUUCCACCACUUGCACUUGGUGAUAUCCCGACUUCCAAAUUUAUCUUGGUGAAGUAAAAGGUUCCCGAAUCAAUCCAUAGUUCUGUCAUCCACCCGUCAUGACGGUUAUUGCUAAGACUUGAUUUUCACUUGCCAAUUG
rnacentral:lncRNA from 1 species